rnacentral:pre_miRNA from 14 species
AAGCCCGUCAAAGUGGCUCGUGUUAUGUUGAAUCUUGAAGUAAUCAUAUCACAGCCAGCUUUGAUGUGCUUCC